CAAAUUAUUAGNAAAAAUUUUUUAUUUACAAUAAAUAAAUUAGUUGUUUAAUUCAACUUAAUUUGA
rnacentral:tRNA from 1 species